rnacentral:rRNA from 1 species
UACGUAGGGCGCAAGCGUUGUCCGGAAUUAUUGGGCGUAAAGAGCGCGCAGGCGGUUGUUUAAGUCGAAUGUGAAAGCCCCCGGCUCAACUGGGGAGGGUCAUUCGAUACUGAUCGACUUGAAGGCAGGAGAGGGAAGUGGAAUUCCGGGUGUAGUGGUGAAAUGCGUAGAUAUCCGGAGGAACACCAGUGGCGAAGGCGACUUCCUGGCCUGUUCUUGACGCUGAGGCGCGAAAGCUGGGGGAGCAAACGGG